UGGUCAAGUCACAAAGAACUGAUUUACAUAGUCAUUUACAUACUAAUUAGACUCUUUAUAUUUUACAGAUCUGUGCAUCUGUCUGUGAGUCCAUCCAUUUGUCUGCAAGUCCAUUUGUUCAAGAACUACUCCAUUCAUCUGAAGAAGGAAAUUGCCAUCUAUGAGUUCUUGGAGGGGUUCGCUUUCUUCUUCCACUACCCCCAUAUUGGAGUCCUGAAAAUUUCUACUUGCUAAAUGAGGUCCAGAGAUCAGGAUGAGAGCUGCAAGGGGGACAGAUUUCACCACCCCAAUCUCUGCAAGGUUGUUUUACCUACCUCUGAAACAUCUGGUACUAGCUACUGUCAGAGAUAGGAUUAGAUGGACCUUGGGUCUGAUCCAGUAUUGAAUUUUAUGUUCCAAAGAACCUCAUGUUCAAGACAAGCAUGUUGCAAAUUACAAACAACUUAUAAAAGGA